rnacentral:rRNA from 1 species
UACGUAGGGGGCUAGCGUUGUCCGGAAUCAUUGGGCGUAAAGCGCGUGUAGGCGGUCCGGUAAGUCCGCUGUGAAAGUCGGGGGCUCAACCCUCGGAUGCCGGUGGAUACUGUCGGGCUUGAGUACGGAAGAGGCGAGUGGAAUUCCUGGUGUAGCGGUGAAAUGCGCAGAUAUCAGGAGGAACACCAAUUGCGAAGGCAGCUCGCUGGGACGUUACUGACGCUGGGACGCGAAAGCGUGGGGAGCAAACAGG